UGGGGAAAUUGGACAAUGGGGGCAACCCUGAUCCAGCCAUGCCGCGUGAGUGAUGAAGGCCUUCGGGUUGUAAAGCUCUUUUGGCGGGGACGAUGAUGACGGUACCCGCAGAAUAAGCCCCGGCUAACUUCGUGCCAGCAGCCGCGGUAAGACGAAGGGGGGCUAGCGUUGUUCGGAAUUACUGGGCGUAAAGCGAGUGUAGGCGGUUGCCGUAGUCAGGUGUGAAAAGCCUUGAGCUCAACUCAAAGAAAUGCACUUGAUACUGGGUGACUAGAGGACCGGAGAGGAUAGUGGAAUUCCCAGUGUAGUGGUGAAAUACGUAGAGAUUGGGAAGAACACCAGUGGCGAAGGCGGCUAUCUGGACGGUUACUGACGCUAAGACUCGAAAGCGUGGGGAGCAAACAGGAUUAGAUACCCUGGUAGUCCACGCCGUAAACGAUGGGUGCUAGACGUUGGCGAGCUUGUCGUCAGUGUCGCAGCUAACGCGUUAAGCACCCCGCC
rnacentral:rRNA from 1 species